ACAACCUUUUAUAAAUUGGAUGUACACAUAACGUAUUACAGUCAGGGCGGUAGCGACAAGGGGGAAGGCUGGGUUGUGCGUAUAGGGUGUAAUUUUUGAGUGAUAUUCAAGUAAAUUAUAAGAGCAUGUAUAGGCUAAUGUGAAAGUUAAAUGUGAACGCCAGUUAAGAAUGUCAAAUAUUAGUUGCAUUUCCGGACUUUCUGAGGGUUGAAAUAUUCAAAAUUUUCUAGCUAGUUUUAGCCAAAUAUAGUUGCAAUAUUCAACUAUAUUAAGAUUGAAACUUGUGCUCCCAUUAAGCUUUGCGCGUUUAGAGUUUAAGGUUUGUAAAGGACAACCUUUUUUGAAUUGGAUCUACACAUAAUGUAUUACAGUCAGGGCGGUAGCGACAAGGGGGAAGGCUGGAUGGGGUAUGUAAUUUUUGAGUGAUGUUCAAGUAAAUUAUAAGAGCAUGUACAGUACAGGCUAAUGUGAAAGUUAAAUGUGAACGCCAGUUAAGAAUGUCAAAUAUUAGUUGCAUUUCCGGACUUUCUGAGGGUUAAAAUAUUCAAAAUUUUCUAGCUAGUUUUAGCCAUGCAUCCAAUUGUGCUAAUAUAUUCUAUCGAAAGAAAAGCCUGUUACAUGAACGUACUCAUGAAAAAGUCACACUAAAUUCUAAAAACUGCUUUUAAGUGACACGAAACUUAAAAUGCACCUAACCUCAAUUGUUUUUAUCAUCUCAUGAGAUUCCUAAAAACCUUUGGAAUGAUAUUGUAACUUAUUUUGAAGAUUUUCGUUUGCAUGCGCACUUUGUCUCGGAGUUAUUUCAGUUUUAUUGAUAUGCAAAUGUCCGGAAAUUGCGUCGCAUACAAUCUCGUACCCAGAGCAAUGCCUGUGCGCGGGCUAAGAUGGCAUUGGCUCUGGGGAAAUUGACAACCGGAACCCCUAAAUUUAGGGGUUCCGGUUCUUUGUCGGCAUGCACGAUUGAUAAACGUUAACCAAUCACCGCACAGGAAAAAUUCAAUUUCCCCAGAGCCAAUGCCAUCCUAGCCCGCGCACAGGCAUUGCUCUGGGUACGAGAUUGCGUCACAUAUGAAUAAUGAUAGUGAUCAAAGAAUGUAAGGUACAGUUCAAUAUCAUGAAAUAAAAAGGCUAAAUGGUGUUUUACAUUGGUAUGUAAUCCUCCCAAACUUCAUUUCAAUGAAUUAAACUCGAUAGUGAAUGCGAUAUACAAGGCUUACUUUAAGUCAUUAUGGAUUUGUGACAUAAAUUCCGGAUAUCUGCAUGCAUGCAAACAAACUAUAAAAUAUCUCAGAAAGAAAGUGAGCACCUAAACUUCUUAAUUAAUUGCUCCCAUUGUGGCGGUAAACCAACAAAUUUUCCCGUCUUCUAGUGUCGUAACCAGCGUCUACUCUAUGCUGAAAAUUUGACUGCUUUGAAAUGGGUGGUCUUCAAAAUAAGUUGUCUUAUAAUUUCAGAAGUUCUUAAGAA
rnacentral:lncRNA from 1 species